UUGGGUUCAAAAUGUGGGUAAAAAAGG
rnacentral:piRNA from 1 species